AGCGGCCGACAGCCUCAGAAACCAGGCCCCUGCAACUGUUUAUUAAAAACAUAGCACUCUGCAAACACGAAAGUGGACGUAUAGGGUGUGAUGCCUGCCCGGUGCUGGAAGGUUAAUUGAUGGGGUUAGCGUAAGCGAAGCUCUUGAUCGAAGCCCCAGUAAACGGCGGCCGUAACAAUAACGGUCCUAAGGUAGCGAAAUUCCUUGUCGGGUAAGUUCCGACCUGCACGAAUGGCGUAACGAUGGCCACACUGUCUCCUCCCGAGACUCAGCGAAGUUGAAAUGUUUGUGAUGAUGCAAUCUACCCGCGGCUAGACGGAAAGACCCCAUGAACCUUUACUGUAGCUUUGCAUUGGACUUUGAACCAAUCUGUGUAGGAUAGGUGGGAGGCUUUGAAGCGGGGACGCCAGUUCUCGUGGAGCCAUCCUUGAAAUACCACCCUGGUUUGUUUGAGGUUCUAACCUUGGUCCGUUAUCCGGAUCGGGGACAGUGCAUGGUAGGCAGUUUGACUGGGGCGGUCUCCUCCUAAAGAGUAACGGAGGAGUACGAAGGUGCGCUCAGCGUGGUCGGAAAUCACGCGUAGAGUAUAAAGGCAAAAGCGCGCUUAACUGCGAGACCCACAAGUCGAGCAGGUACGAAAGUAGGUCUUAGUGAUCCGGUGGUUCUGUAUGGAAGGGCCAUCGCUCAACGGAUAAAAGGUACUCUGGGGAUAACAGGCUGAUUCCUCCCAAGAGUUCAUAUCGACGGGGGAGUUUGGCACCUCGAUGUCGGCUCAUCACAUCCUGGGGCUGUAGCCGGUCCCAAGGGUAUGGCUGUUCGCCAUUUAAAGUGGUACGUGAGCUGGGUUUAAAACGUCGUGAGACAGUUUGGUCCCUAUCUGCCGUGGGCGUUGGAAAUUUGAAGGGGGCUGCUCCUAGUACGAGAGGACCGGAGUGGACGAACCUCUGGUGUACC
rnacentral:rRNA from 1 species